UCCCUGGUGGUCCAGUGGCUAAGACUCUGUGCUCCUAAGACAGGGCCCAGGUUCGAUCCCUGGUCAGGGAA
rnacentral:tRNA from 1 species